UACGAAGGGGGCUAGCGUUGCUCGGAAUCACUGGGCGUAAAGCGCGUGUAGGCGGCCCUGCAAGUCGGGUGUGAAAUCCCACGGCUCAACCGUGGAAGUGCACUCGAAACUGCAGGGCUAGAGUCCUGGAGAGGAAGGUGGAAUGCUUGGUGUAGAGGUGAAAUUCGUAGAUAUCAAGCGGAACACCGGUGGCGAAGGCGGCCUUCUGGACAGUGACUGACGCUGAGACGCGAAAGCGUGGGGAGCAAACAGG
rnacentral:rRNA from 1 species